ACCCUUUUAGCUCAUCGGUAGAGCGCUGGUUUUGAGAGCCACAAGUCUGCGGAUCGAGCCCAACAGGG